rnacentral:rRNA from 1 species
AGUGAACGCUGGCGGUAGGCCUAACACAUGCAAGUCGAACGGCAGCACAGUAAGAGCUUGCUCUUACGGGUGGCGAGUGGCGGACGGGUGAGGAAUACAUCGGAAUCUACUUUUUCGUGGGGGAUAACGUAGGGAAACUUACGCUAAUACCGCAUACGACCUACGGGUGAAAGCAGGGGAUCUUCGGACCUUGCGCGAUUGAAUGAGCCGAUGUCGGAUUAGCUAGUUGGCGGGGUAAAGGCCCACCAAGGCGACGAUCCGUAGCUGGUCUGAGAGGAUGAUCAGGCACACCUGAACCGGGACACGGUCCAGACUCCUAAGGGAGGCAGCAGUGGGGAAUAUUGGGCAAUGGGCGGCAGCCUGAUCCAGCCAUACCGCGUGGGUGAAGAAGGCCUUCGGGUUGUAAAGCCCUUUUGUUGGGAAAGAAAAGCAGCAGGUUAAUACCCCGCUGUUCUGACGGUACCCAAAGAAUAAGCACCGGCUAACUUCGUG